rnacentral:tRNA from 1 species
GCCCGGGUGUCUCAGUCAGUUGAGUGCCCGACUUCCGCUCAGGUCAUGAUCUCACGGUUCGCGGGUUCGAGCCCCGCGUCGGGCU